GUUUCUCUCUUCCCUCUCUCUCAAAACCCUAGAUCAAACGAGUGCAAGUUCCGUUCUUCAUUCUCAUAUUCAUCAACCGCCACUCUUCUUCUCACAUUCGACGGCACCACAUCUACCUUCUGAUGAUUAUUUUCAAGACUUCAUUUGUUCGCAACCUUCUGUCAGUCUGGGUUUUAGAUCACUCACCGGUGCCGAAAUUGCAGAAAUCGGAGGAAUCAGAGAGUUUUGAGGAAUUUUGGGGUUUCGCCACUACUCAAUUUGCUUCUUCUGCUUCGACGAGCGGUAUAUUCUAACUCGCACUGGUAUAUUAAGGGAAAACUCGCACGUUCUUUGUCAUGCCAGUGAAAAGAAAAUGGAGGAGCAAGUAGAAGAAUUAUGCUGUAAAAGACCGCUUUUGAUGAAAAGAAAGGAGGUAUAGUGACUAUGCCUUUCAUCAUAGGUGGAUAUGGACAUUAACAGCAGUUUAUAGCAUUGACGAAGUGACUUUCUUUCAACUAUAAGUUUCAUCAGGUGAUCUCUUGGUAAGAUCGCUCUUUUUUACUUCUUAGAAUUGGUUCAGAUCCGUACAAUGUGUCUAUUGUUAAAUUUGAUUAGUUACUAUUUGGUAUUAAUCGUUUAUUUGUGUAUCGAGAUCAAAUUAUGAACAUCAUCUUGAUUCAUGAUUCACACAAGUUGGCCUCUAAACCACAAAAAGUUGUGUUUCUUAGAUCCUAUGUGCUUUUUAUAACGAAAUAUGAGGAAAAUUAGUUUGAUGAUAACAAAGAUUAUUCAUCAUGGUAUUCGUUUGUUUUAAUUUGGGCUGAUGACGAAGAUAGUGAAGCAAUUAAGCUCACCUUUAGUAAAAACAAAAUUGAGGCCGACAAGAGCUGGCUUUGGUCACUUCAGGUUUGGACUAUUGAUAUUUAAUCUUUACUUAGAAUUUAGUGUGUUCAAUAUGUGGGUAGACUUUAUGAUCAUAAUGGAUAUGAAACAAGAUAACCAAUAUGUGUUGUUUUUGUUUUACAUAUUGUCUGAACCUAAUGUCCAAUUUGCCAUUUAUAUGACCCUAAUGUAGAAAUCCUUAAUAUGGUUGUCACCAUGGUUGGAAAAUUUACAUAUCUAUAUUGUGCAGAAGAUGGAACAAAAAAAAUGGUUGAUGCUGUCACAGGAGUUUAAGUGUUAGUUCUCAUGGCCUCUUUUUAUGAUGGGGCCUACUAUUCUAGCAGUUCUUUUGGUCACGAAGCAUUUGGACAUUCUUUAAGAUGGAACGACGAUAAUGAAACUGAAUUGUCAUGUUGCUCUUCAUCCAACCGUUCGGUUCAUUCAUGAGUACUUGCAAGGAGCUGAAGAACAAGUAAGAGGAAGAGAAGCGUCGUAAAGAAUAAGAGAGGAGAAAAGGUUGAAAUAAGCUUCCACCUUUUCAUUUGAUGAGGUUUUGGUCGUUUUUAGAGGAGGAAAUCGAGGAUGAAAAGAUUCACGAGAGUGCCAGCGAGAAGCGUGAAGAUGGCCAAUAUACCACCGGACGAUUAUUCGUGGAGGAAAUACGGCCAAAAGCCGAUCAAAGGCUCACCCUAUCCAAGGUAAAUAAAUAUCUUGCUUAUAUCAAUACCAAUCUUGACUCAGCCUGGUUAACUCAGUGGUUUUUACUCACUGAGUUAACUCGGGAUAUUUAAAUAUAAUUAUUUUCAUUAGCAUUGGUGGAUGGAGCCGACCUAAAGGUCAUAAAGUAUGGUUUAUACUUAAGGGUGAUUUGGGUAAUUCACUAUUGGUGGCUUAGACUUUGUAUCAUUCUUUUUUUGCUUUUUAGUUUAUUUGAAUAUUUGUGUACUACUGCUUCACGUUAUCACUUUUGCAGCUCAAUGAAACACUCAAUUACGUCCUAAUUAAAAAGGUAUGCACAUCAAGAUCUUUAAAAAAUGAAGUUUUUAAUUUUACAUUUUUAGUAAUUUCCAAAGACGGGCACCUACAAAUAUGGAUUAACCUACAAAUACAAUAUUCCUCGUGAUUGACAUGGUGUUGGACCGGUUGUGCUGAACAUGGUUAGGCCACCUAUGCAGCAAGUAUUUGUGUUUUAAUAAUCAGUCAUUUCAAAUUAUGUUUUAAUGAUUCUAAUUAGCUUUACCUUAUUAAUAUAAAAGCCAUCAUGCUGCAAGUGCCAUCAACAUGUAAUAAGGGGACUUUGUUUUAGUGUAUCAUAAUUCUUAAUAUAAUGUGUAAUGCUAUGAUUACGUGUCACAUUAUCCAUACAUACGAGUGCUAAUAUUGUAUUUGUAGGUUACUUUGGCAAACCAACCCAAGAAAUCCGCUGAAGGCUCUUAUGAUUCUCAUUAGCAAAGGCUAUAAAUUUAGAUAAUGAUCCGUGCACAAUUCCCAAGUUGAAUGUGAUGCCAAUCUUAUGGAACGUAGUUCAAGAGCAUUUGGAUUGCUAACUUUGUUUAAUUCAUAUAGUGUUGACAUGUAUUGUUUUGUUCAAACUUUUUUCAAAUAUAGUAAAAAAUAAAAGACUAUGUUGGCAUGGUUAUUAUUAUUUUUUAGUUGUAAUAAUGGUAAAUUUUCUUUAU